rnacentral:lncRNA from 1 species
CAUUUAAACAGAGUUAACAUAUUGCACAGAAAUUUCUGUGAUCGACAAUCCCACAUCCAGACCUUGUGCCUUUCAUGUCAGAAUAAUGUCAUGGAGUACAAAGGUUCUGAGUUCAGUUCCUAGGCAAAUGAAGAGAGGCUGCCUCCAUGCUCUUCAUCACAAAAAAUAUCCAGUAUCUAAAACUCUUGCUUUCCCAUGCUGUUACAAACACACCCAGGACUGAGUGGCUACAUUUUUACUGGCAACAGAAGAGUAAGUUCAGCGAAGAGCAAGCUCAAUGCUUGGAAUAAGCACUGGCUCGAGUGAACACAUACCCCAAGCUGAAUCCUCUGGGUGUCAGGAGCUGCUGGCCAAGGACCAGUGGGAGUAGGGAGAGGCUGCAGGCUCUGACCGCAGUGAGGAGUCUGGGAGGAAGAGAAGACAUCUUGAGCAUCUGGCUUUGCUACACCCGGAAAACUCUACCCAGAGUCCAGAGACCAUCCCCACAACUUUGCUUUAUCUGGAAAUCUCAUUGCUUAACCCAUCAUCCAAGGAAAACAGCCCAGGCAGUGGAAAAUUACAGUUUUCCAAUAAGAGAGACCAACCACAGCUCUGUCGCCUUCAUUUCAGAACAAGCAUACAUGUCACACGGGAAGAGAAAUGCCGGCAGGAUCUAGAAGUCGCCCAAUACCAUUGAAAAGAGACUGUCCACAAAUUCUAUUCAUGCCAGUUAAAAUCAAAAUAAUGAAACAUCAGGGCUCCUCCAGGACUGCAGCCCCGGGUGCUUUCUCAGCUGACUUCACAUCUCACAUGACCACAACCAUGUCAUCCAUGAGCUGCCUGCCUCCAGCUGCCCCCGGGUACCUGAUCGGAAAUCAGGCAGCAUCUUCUGGGCUGAAGUCCGUGCUACAUCUACAGCAGAAGGAGAAAAAGUACCCGUUCUCCCCUGGGAAAGCAGGCCACAGGGAAGGGACACUUUGCUUUCUGAAGAUGCUUUCUGACACACUGACUCCAUAAAAGGCCAAUCAGCUAGUGUGUCUCAUUCUUCGGCCACUUGCCAGCCCUGGCAGUUUUAAACCCAGGGCUUCUCCCUUCAGAGUGCAAUAACUACAGUCUCCUAAUAAUGAACAAAACCAACAUUAGUGACACUGCCUGGAAAUGAAUGUUACCA